ensembl:misc_RNA
CUGCAAAGCUGCAAAUUGGAGUCCUCCCCUUUGCCACGGGGAGGGUGCAGCUGAGACAGCAUCUGCACCACCAGCCUGCCCACAGCCCUGCCAGCCUGCCUCAGCUCUGACCUUCAAGUGGCAGAGGAAAACUCCCCCUUGCCUUGCAGCCCUGGGCUUUU